rnacentral:rRNA from 1 species
GUGGAGACUCCUACGGGAGGCAGCAGUGGGGAAUAUUGGACAAUGGGCGAAAGCCUGAUCCAGCCAUGCCGCAUGAGUGAAGAAGGCCUUUGGGUUGUAAAGCUCUUUUAGUGAGGAAGAUAAUGACGGUACUCACAGAAGAAGUCCUGGCUAACUCCGUGCCAGCAGCCGCGGUAAUA